GGGGAAUGUAGGUUUGGGGGGCAGCGCCCGGGCCGUGGAGGCUGGGAGGGCGCGCAGCUGGGGCGCCUCAGGCCUUGGAGAAGGUGGCGGCAGCGCCGGCGGGGCCCCCGGGGGCAGCUCCGGGCUCCUCGGCCCAGCGGUUCAUGCAGCGGCGCCGCGCGUUCAUGAAGAAAUUGCUGACGGUGUUGAGCUCCAGGCCGAGCUGCUGCGAGAUGGUGACCUGCAUCUCCUUAGACGGCCGCUUAUUCUCCUUGAAGAUGGCGAUGAGCGUGCGCCGCUGCAGGUCAGUGAACACCAGGCGCUGCUUUUUGGGCUGCAGCGCGCGCUCUUUCUGCUGCUCCUGCUCCUUCCGCUUGCAGGCUGCGGGCGAGCGCGGGCGGGCGGGCCGGCGAGAGGGACGCGGCGCCACCGCGCGGCCGGACAGGAGAAGACAGGCCACGUGUCCCGGAGCGCCGAGACAUCAGGAAACACAGAAAUGCGGGAAACGCGAGAGAUGGAGAGAUGACACGGGGACAGGGCCAAAAAGACAAGGAGACACAGAGAGCAGGAGGCAGCAAGAAGGCGCCCACACCUGGGAGAUGUUGGAGGAAAUAACCCGGAAACCCUACAUGUGAGUUAUUUGGCUCAGUGUAGACCUGAGUGACUUAGCAGCAGCAGCAGCAGACCUGAGUGAAAGAAUUGGUUAAUUAAUACCUCUUUGCCGGGGGUGGGGUCACAAACCCCUGGAACAUCCCCCUGGAAUGAUGGGGCAACUAGGUCCUCAGAAGACAGGUGACAAUCCACGUCUCCUUCCCUGGUGACCUGAGGCCUGAUCAGCUUAGGGAUCCAGAAUCCAGCUAACGUGGUCAUCCACUUGGUCUGAUUCUGAUCUCUGAGCCCCUACUCUGGCCUCCCUCCACCAGCAGGCUGAGACCAAGGCCUGGCAUCCCUCAGGUCCCCCAGGGAACUUCUGGAGCAGGAGAAUUGCAAGACCAACCCUCCCUCUGCCAGAACCACCUGGCCCAGAUGAUGGGGAAGGCGUAGGAGGCCGCGCUAUGGUCAGUACUUGUGUGCUAAGUCACUUCAGUCAUGUCUAACUCUUCUCAAUCCUAUGGACUGAGGCCCUCCAGGUUCCUCUGUCCAUGGGAUUCUCCUGGCAAGAAUACUGGAGUGGAUUCCCAUUUCCUUCUCCAGGGGAAUCUUCCUGACCCAGGGAUCGAACUCAUGUUUGCCUGUAUCUCCUGCAUUGCAGGCAGAUUCUUUACCACUGAGCCACUUGGGAAACCCCCUGUGGUGGGUAGAAGCUUGCAAAGGAGAAGUGGCAGCAUCUGAGUGGUGGAGCUAGGGUGGAGCCUAUGGUCGUGCUCCCCCCUGCACCAGCUCCAAAGUGGGCCCCUCCCCUCAAUGCUGUGGGGCCAGCGGAUAGAAAACAUGAUCUUCACCAGCCAAAGCUGGCUACCUCCACCUGGGGACUGGCAUCAGCAAAAUCUCCAUCAGGGUCUCAAUUCCUUGACCACACACCAGUCAGGGACAGUGGGUGGUGGACGCCCACCCCAUCCUGCCUUCCCACAAACCGCUUGCCCCAGCGACUCUGUCACUCCCAGAGUGGCUGGUGGCACGGGCUAUACUAGCAGAUCUCCGCUACCAGCCCUGGUAGCCUGCUGGGACCAUGUACCAAGCUGGUUUUUUUUUUGGUUCCGGAACAGUCUGAACCAGAUGACAUGCCAGAUCAAUGUCCACACAUGUCCGUAAAAAAUAAAUGACUGUCCCCUGUGCUGUGGCUCAUUUCUCAGUGAUGACAUCUCCCCCUCUCGCCCUCAAGUUCCCCCCCCUCCGUUUGGACUGAUGCACCACUUCCUUAUCUGGCUUCUUCUGACCUGGAACACACAGUGCUUCUAAUUGGCUGUUUCAGGUUUCAUAAUUAAAUGAGAGUGGCAGGCAGAGGUUACUGGACUUUUCAGAAAAAAGCUUCUAAUGAAGGAGAGAGAGAGAAAGUGAGAAAAUGGGAGGACUGGGGACUGAUGCUCUCAGAAGAAACAGAUAAGACAGGUGCAAUUAGAAGUCAGAUUCUGGGAGGGGUAAGAGAAAAUACUGUAUCCAUGAAACAAGAACUGGAUGCUGUUCAAUAGAAAGGACCAUGAGAGGGGCAGACAAUGCUCUUAGAAUUUAAGUAUAUUAUAGCAGGAAUAAAGUCAAUGUAAGAAUUGGGACAUAGGAACUUCCCUGGCAGUCCAGUGGUUAGGACUCUGCUUUCACUGCCAAGGGCCCAGGUUCAUUCCCUGGUUGGGAAACUAAGAUUCCACAAGCCAUGUGGCAUGGCCAAAAAGUUAAAAAAAAAAAGAAGAAGAAGAAGAAUUGGAACAUAAAGCAAAUAUCCCUGGAAAUAUAAGUGGAUGCAGAGAUGGAAAAUGAGGGAAAGAUGAUAACAAAGUUUGAGGAUGAAUGUGCAGGUUUGUCAUCUGAGCAAGAGGCCAUCCAAAACUAGAGAAAGGGAAGCCCAAACAAAUUAUAUCAAUAUGAUUAGAAUAGUGUGUGUGUGUGUGUGUGUGCUCAGUCAUGUUCAACCUGUUAUGACCCCAUGGACUGUGGGCCACCAGGAUCCUCUGUCCAUGGGAUUCUCCGCAUCUCUUGUGUCUCCUGCAUUGGCAGGCAGAUUCUUUACCACUGUACCACCUGAGAAGCAG
ensembl:lincRNA